AGUGAACGCUGGCGGUAGGCCUAACACAUGCAAGUCGAACGGCAGCACAGUAAGAGCUUGCUCUUACGGGUGGCGAGUGGCGGACGGGUGUGGAAUACAUCGGAAUCUACUUUUUCGUGGGGGAUAACGUAGGGAAACUUACGCUAAUACCGCAUACGACCUACGGGUGAAAGCAUGGUAUCUUCGGACCUUGCGCUAUUGAAUGUGCCGAUGUCGGAUUAGCUAGUUGGCGGGUUAAAGGCCCACCAAGGCGACGAUCCGUAGCUGGUCUGAGAGGAUGAUCAGCAAAACGGGAACUAAGACACGGUCCAGACUCCUAGGGGAGGCAGCAGUGGGGAAUAUUGGACAAUGGGCGCAAGCCUGAUCCAGACAUACCGCGUGGGUGAAGAAGGCCUUCGGGUUGUAAAGCCCUUUUGUUGGGAAAGAAAAGCAAAAGGUUAAUAACCCGCUGUUCUGACGGUACCCAAAGAAUAAGCAACGGCUAACUUCGUG
rnacentral:rRNA from 1 species